AUUGAACGCUGGCGGCAGGCCUAACACAUGCAAGUCGAACGAGUGGCGGAAGGGUGAGUAAUGUCGGGGAAACUGCCUGAUGGAGGGGGAUAACUACUGGAAACGGUAGUUAAUACCGCAUACCAUCGGUUGUGCACAGAUGGGAGUAGCGAGUAGGGGGGGUAAAGGCCCACCUAGGCGACGAUCCCUAGCUGGUCGUAGAGGAUGACCAGCAACACUGGAACUGAGACACGGUCCAGACUCCUACGGGAGGCAGCAGUGGGGAAUAUUGCACAAUGGGCGCAAGCCUAAUGCAGCCAUGCCGCGUGUAUGAAGAAGGCCUUCGGGUUGUAAAGUACUUUCAGCGGGGAGGCGUUACCCGCAGAAGAAGCACCGGCUAACUCCGUGCCAGCAGCCGCGGUAAUAC
rnacentral:rRNA from 1 species